CAGCAGCCGCGGUAAUACGUAGGGUGCAAGCGUUAAUCGGAAUUACUGGGCGUAAAGCGUGCGCAGGCGGUUGUGUAAGACAGGUGUGAAAUCCCCGGGCUUAACCUGGGAAUUGCAUUUGUGACUGCACGACUAGAGUGUGUCAGAGGGGGGUGGAAUUCCACGUGUAGCAGUGAAAUGCGUAGAUAUGUGGAGGAACACCAAUGGCGAAGGCAGCCCCCUGGGAUAACACUGACGCUCAUGCACGAAAGCGUGGGGAGCAAACAGGAUUAGAUACCCGUGUAGUCCCUGUCUCUUAUAA
rnacentral:rRNA from 1 species